UACGUAGGGACCGAGCGUUGUCCGGAAUCAUUGGGCGUAAAGAGCGUGUAGGCGGCCUGUUAAGUCCUGCGGGAAAUCCUGCGGCUCAACCGCAGACGGUCGUGGGAAACUGGAAGGCUAGAGUGCGGGAGAGGAGAGUGGAACUCCCGGUGUAGCGGUGAAAUGCGCAGAUAUCGGGAAGAACACCCGUGGCGAAGGCGGCUCUCUGGAACGCAACUGACGCUGAGACGCGAAAGCGUGGGGAGCAAACAGG
rnacentral:rRNA from 1 species